UGGGGAAUUUUGGACAAUGGGGGCAACCCUGAUCCAGCAAUGCCGCGUGAGUGAAGAAGGCCUUCGGGUUGUAAAGCUCUUUUGUCAGGGAAGAAACGGUGAGGGCUAAUAUCCUUUGCUAAUGACGGUACCUGAAGAAUAAGCACCGGCUAACUACGUGCCAGCAGCCGCGGUAAUACGUAGGGUGCAAGCGUUAAUCGGAAUUACUGGGCGUAAAGCGUGCGCAGGCGGUUAUGUAAGUCAGAUGUGAAAUCCCCGGGCUCAACCUGGGAAUGGCAUUUGAGACUGCAUGGCUAGAGUGUGUCAGAGGGGGGUAGAAUUCCACGUGUAGCAGUGAAAUGCGUAGAGAUGUGGAGGAAUACCGAUGGCGACGGCAGCCCCCUGGGAUAACACUGACGCUCAUGCACGAAAGCGUGGGGAGCAAACAGG
rnacentral:rRNA from 1 species